rnacentral:rRNA from 1 species
AUGUUCCAUUCUGUCCCACCAGCUCAAGCCGUGAUGCUCAAGCUAGUUCUGCACUUCUGGAGUGACGAAGAUUGCAUCAAUAUCCUAGCUCAAUGCAAGAAGGCCAUUCCUUCCCGAGAAGUGGGAGGAAAAGUGAUCGUCGUCAUAGACAUAGUACUUGGAUCUUCUCCGGAGACAAUGUCCGAAACAGAAUUGCUAAUGGAUAUGCUCAUGUUCUUAUGUACGAGAGGACGGCAACGGAAUGAAAAUGAGUGGAGCAUGAUCUUUAUGAAAGCAGGGUUUAGCGAUUAUAAGAUUGUCAAGAAACUUGGAGCUCGAGGUGUCAUUGAGGUCUAUCCGUAA